rnacentral:rRNA from 1 species
AUACGGGGGGAGCAAGCGUUGUCCGGAAUUACUGGGCGUAAAGGGCGUGUAGGCGGCUUGAUAAGUCAGAUGUGAAAGCCUUCCGCUUAACGGAAGAACUGCAUUUGAAACUGUCGGGCUUGAGUGCGAGAGAGGGUAGUGGAAUUCCCAGUGUAGCGGUGAAAUGCGUAGAUAUUGGGAAGAACACCAGUAGCGAAGGCGGCUACCUGGCUCGUAACUGACGCUAAGGCGCGAAAGCGUGGGGAGCAAACAGGAUUAGAAACCCUAGUAGUCC